AGGAGGCAGCAGUAAGGAAUAUUGGACAAUGGGGGAAACCCUGAUCCAGCGAUGCCGCGUGUGUGAAGAAGGCCUUAGGGUUGUAAAGCACUUUUAAUCGGGAAGAAAAGCAAUGGGUUAAUACCCCGUUGUAUUGACGUUACUGAUAGAAAAAGCACCGGCUAACUCUGUGCCAGCAGCCGCGGUAAUACAGAGGGUGCAAGCGUUAAUCGGAAUUACUGGGCGUAAAGCGUGCGUAGGCGGCAAAUUAAGUCUGAUGUGAAAUCCCCGAGCUUAACUUGGGAACUGCAUCAGAUACUGGUUUGCUAGAGUAAGGUAGAGGAAAGCGGAAUUCCAGGUGUAGCGGUGAAAUGCGUAGAUAUCUGGAGGAACACCGGUGGCGAAGGCGGCUUUCUGGACUUAUACUGACGCUGAGGCACGAAAGCGUGGGGAUCAAACAGGAUUAGAAACCCCGGUAGUCCC
rnacentral:rRNA from 1 species